rnacentral:rRNA from 1 species
ACGCUGGCGGCAGGCCUAACACAUGCAAGUCGAGCGGUAGAGAGAAGCUUGCUUCUCUUGAGAGCGGCGGACGGGUGAGUAAUGCCUAGGAAUCUGCCUGGUAGUGGGGGAUAACGUUCGGAAACGGACGCUAAUACCGCAUACGUCCUACGGGAGAAAGCAGGGGACCUUCGGGCCUUGCGCUAUCAGAUGAGCCUAGGUCGGAUUAGCUAGUUGGUGGGGUAAUGGCUCACCAAGGCGACGAUCCGUAACUGGUCUGAGAGGAUGAUCAGUCACACUGGAACUGAGACACGGUCCAGAUUCCUACGGGAGGCAGCAGUGGGGAAUAUUGGACAAUGGGCGAAAGCCUGAUCCAGCCAUGCCGCGUGUGUGAAGAAGGUCUUCGGAUUGUAAAGCACUUUAAGUUGGGAGGAAGGGUUGUAGAUUAAUACUCUGCAAUUUUGACGUUACCGACAGAAUAAGCACCGGCUAACUCUGUGCCAGCAGCCGCGGUAAUACAGAGGGUGCAAGCGUUAAUCGGAAUUACUGGGCGUAAAGCGCGCGUAGGUGGUUAGUUAAGUUGGAUGUGAAAUCCCCGGGCUCAACCUGGGAACUGCAUUCAAAACUGACUGACUAGAGUAUGGUAGAGGGUGGUGGAAUUUCCUGUGUAGCGGUGAAAUGCGUAGAUAUAGGAAGGAACACCAGUGGCGAAGGCGACCACCUGGACUAAUACUGACACUGAGGUGCGAAAGCGUGGGGAGCAAACAGGAUUAGAUACCC